ensembl:lncRNA
GCAGCAAGUGAACAGUCAGUUCUCGGAGUUGAUGUGUUGGAAGCAUACGGAUCUGAGCAACUUUGACAAGGGACAAAUCGUGACGGUUGGACGACUGGGUCAGAGCGUCUCCAAAAUGGCAGGUCUCGUGUGGUGGUCCUGGUAUACAAGUGGUUAGUACCUAAAAAAAAAAAAAAAAAAAAGUGGUCCAAGGAAGGACAACCGGUGAACCGGCGACAGGGUCAUGGGCGCCCAAGGUGUUGACGUGUGUGAGGAGCGAAGGCUAAACUGUCAGGUCUGAUCCCACAGAAGAGCUACUGUAUCUGUAUCACAGGACGCACUACGGGAAGAAGGCAAGCCGGCAGAGGAAGUGUGAUGCUCUGGGCACGGUCCUGCUUGGAGGCCUUCGGAUUGUGGAUGUUAGUUUGACUUUUAUGUACCAUCUACCGAAGCGUCGUUGCAGACUAAGUACACCCCUUCAUGGCAACAGUGUUCCUUAACGGCAGUGGUCUCUUUCAGAAGGAUAAUGCGCCAUGCCACACUGCAAAAAAAUUGUUCCGGAACGGUUUGAGGAACAUGACAAAGAGUUCAAGGCGUUGACUCGGCCUCCAAAUUCCCCAGAUCAGUCUGAUCGAGCGUCUGCCAGAUGUGCUGGACAAACAAGCCCGAUCCACGGAAGCCGCACCUCGCGACUUAACUCACAGGACGUAAAGGAUCUGCUGCAAAUGUCUUGGUGCCAGAUACCACAGCACACCUUCAGAGCUCUUGUGAAGUCCAUCAUAUGCCUCGACGGGCCAGAGCCGUUUUGACGGCACGAGGGAGACGUACACAAUAUUAGGAAGGUGGUUUUAAUGUUAUGGCUGAUCGGUGUAUAUAACAUGUCUAUAAAGCAGGCUUACAAAUUCAACUAAAAGCCAGUGAAUGUGAAGCUGUAAUGAUUGGGGUGAAAACAUGGGCGUCUGGGGUAGGAGCUGAAGCUCCAUGUAGUCUUUCUCCCAAACUUCAGUUAUUUCAUAACAUCCUUUUUUCUAAAAUGAUCCACAAGUGUUUUGGACAGUGUGUGUAGGUUUGAUGGUGCAAUUGAUCAUUUUAACCACUUUGUGUAUUAUAUGUAGCUCCAAAAAAAAAAAAAAAAAAAAAAGUCAGACCGCCUACACGAUUAACUUCUCGCAUGCGGUUUGUGUGCCAAAACUUUUUGUAUCGUAUUAAUUAGUUUAAUACAGCUUGCCUUUGACGAGCAUUAAGUGCAGAUUCAUUAUCAUGUGUACCAAGUUUAUAAAUAAAUGAAUUUGGUACACAUGAGAAUGAAUUUUUAUUAUAUAUAUAUAUAUAUAUAUAUAUACACACACAUGGUAUGUAGGUGUUUUUAAUUUGGUGUGUCUACAUGAGUUCACAUUAUAAUUCUAGAAAACAUCAAGAAAGAGUCAUUGAGAAAAAUUUUAAUCGCAUGUUAUUUGCUUCAUAACUUGAUGCUGUUUUAGUGUAUUUAGUAAUUAGCUAAUAGCCUGCUAGUUAAUCGCUAGCACACCGAGCUAAAGCUAAAGCCUGUCUGAGGGCACAGGGAAGGUACACAAGUGUAACUACUACCUACAUGUCACCCAUUACAUAGCGAACCGACCAUUUAUUACAUUACACAAUUACUUGAAAGUCAAAUUAAUAAAAGGGCAUCACCGAUCAUAGUCGAUUCGAAACGUUACCCGGUGCUCACUGUGCAUUAUGGGUAACACUCACAUUCCAUUAGGCGCUGAGAACUACAUACACCAUACAAAUGGCGAUGAAAAAAAGUCUUGUUCAAAUGGAGUCUAUGCAUUAUUUGUGUUUGGGACAUUUCCACAAGUGGCUGUGCUCUAGUAAGUACACGUACUAAAACUUACACUUCACUCGUUCAUUUUUCCCGAACCGAUACAAUGAGCUAAACCGAGUAUUUUCAAAAGCAAGACAUUUUUCGAACCUUUAUACGACAGACGUGAUCGCUGUAAUGAAAAGUCGAGUACUCCAUCUUUGAACGGCUGGAACUUAUUAACUGGCAUCCGGGGUUACAAGUAGAAUUGCUGCAAAACACAUAGAAGGAAAAAUCUGCUUUAUGUGUCGAGUAUCUCGGUAGAACUCUUAGUAAACGUUCUCAUUCUAGUCUACAGUGCGUAGCGUUUUUAUUUCACCUUUUGGAUUUUAUUUUCAUCUUUAAUUAUUGCUCCAACACAUGAUUUCACAUACUGACCCCACCCCCAUCGAUAAAUAAAUAAGUCACUUAUAGAAUUGCCCAAACUUACAACUUCAACAAAACUUGCAAAUUUUUGUGCUCACUCAGUCACACAGUCUUAAAGUGCGAUCUACUAAAACACUACCAACACAUUCGCCUAAACACCGCUUUAAAUACGUAUAUGAUUUUAAGGUGAAUGUUAUCCUUUUCAGGUCACGGGGAAACCUGGAGCCUAUCCCAGGGAGCAUCGGGCACAAGGCGGGGUACACCCUGGACAGGGUGCCAGUCCAUCGCAGGGCACAAUCAUACACACUCACACACCCAUUCAUACACUACGGACACUUUGGACAUGCUUUAUUUAUUUAUUUAUUUGUCCAUUUAUUUAUUUAUUUAUUUACCUGAUCCAGUUCCUUCCUCGGGUGGUUUGCACCGCUUUUAUGUCUGGCUACGACUCCCUAAAAAUUUCUCAACCCUCUCCCUCUGGACUCGCCUUAAAUCAAACUAGAGCGACCUCUGAAACACUCUUUGGUUGUAUAAUCCGCUGCUGUUGUAAACAUGUUACGCUGCUGUUCUUGCUGGCAUUUCAAGCACGUUCUUCUCUUUAUCAUACACCACGGCUAUCGAAUGCACACGAGAACACGGCGUGGCUGAAUUCAACUAAACGAAACAGCUAUCUAUUUUUGGCUAAGCAGCUCUUCACACUGCUGUGCUAGUUAGAUUUUUAUUUUUUUUUUCCUCUGUGCACUACCUUUCCUUACAGCCUCUCUCUCACACUCUCUCAAUCUCUUUUAGCUUUGUAAUGACGACGUGAUAAAUACUGACAAUCUGAUGGGGGGAAAAAUCCCUCUCAAAAAUACCGUUCUAGACGAUAAAAGAAAGACGACCAAUUAAAGGAUCUUUUUUUUUCCUCCCUCCCUUUUUGUAAUACGUUUUUCCUUUCAUUUGUACCACAAGAUUGUGUGUUUCCGUAUAUUUCCUUCAUGCAGUGAAAAACCGUCAUACUUUUAGCCUACGCUUUCAUACCGCGAGAUUUUCGAUAUAUCAUAACACCCGUUAAGUGGGCUUUUUGAACACCUGUACGCAUUAGUUAUUAGUAAUCUGGCCUUUAAACGGAGGACAUUUUAUUAAGCAGGGACCUUAUGUGUCUGUUAGAUGCUCUGUUUCCAAUUCAAACUCAACUGUAUUAUCAAAGUAAUAAUUAUAUUACUGAUGCGUAACAUAACUGGAUCUCCUCUGUAUUAAACGCCGUAAUACUGAUCCGAGAGGCUAGUUUUACUGUUCGGCAUGACGAGGAAACUAGAUGAAUCAUGAGUUCUUUCAGGACAUGAUUGAAAAACAAGCCAGGACUGUCACGGAGUCAUGCAGUCGUGACGCCCGAUAAUCUACGUAUGCGUCAGUGUGAGAAUCUCGUCGUUUUUCCUUUUCUUAUUAUGCCUUUUUUUUUUUUUCGAUUGUAACACAGCCGGGAAUUGCGUUAUUGCACAUUAAGCGUUAUCCCAUAACCACUGUCUCUUCUGUACAGUCUUCCAUACAGUCUCUGAUUGCGUACAUUACAGCAAUAAUGUGGGGGUGGGGGGACGGGGGGACGACAAAGAAGAGGAAGAACAGUACCGUAGUCACACAGAGUAAUUAUAAAACAGGCCCAUGUAGUAUUUGGGUUGCGCCCUCGACUCGAAGUGAAGCGGAAUAGCCGCGCUGCCGUGCCUCUUCACUCACAUGCCGGUGUUUAGCGCGUGUUAAAUGCCUUCGAAAAAACUUUUGGCAGUCUCAGCUGAGCCCUGUUCAGCGUCAUGGUUCUCUAAACCCCAUGUUUUUUUUUCUUGGGCUUGAACCGAGAAAUUUUUGCUUUGUUUUGUUUGUUUGCUUGUCCACACCGGGCUUAGAAACACUUGGUACACUCUAGUACAGCCAGGUGUGUGCCAACAAUCUGUCAGAGAGGAUACGGUAAUAUUUAACAUUAUCCUCCGCACUCGACCAUAUCACCUUUGUAUUUAUAGUUCUAAGUUGCGCAUUAAUCAAAACAGUUUUGGCACUACUUUAUGAUUUUAACGUUUUU